GGCUAGCUCAGUAGGAAGAGCAAGAGACUAAAUCUCGGGGUCGUGGGUUGGGGUCCCACGUUUUAUGCCA